rnacentral:rRNA from 1 species
GUGGGGAAUAUUGGGCAAUGGGCGAAAGCCUGACCCAGCAACGCCGCGUGAAGGAAGAAGGUUUUCGGAUUGUAAACUUCUGUCCUCAGGGAAGAAGGAAGUGACGGUACCUGAGGAGGAAGCCCCGGCUAACUACGUGCCAGCAGCCGCGGUAAUACGUAGGGGGCGAGCGUUGUCCGGAAUGACUGGGCGUAAAGGGCGCGUAGACGGCUGUCUAAGUCUGGAGUGAAAGUCCUGUUUUCAAGGCGGGAAUUGCUUUGGAGACUGGAUGGCUUGAGUGCGGAAGAGGUAAGUGGAAUUCCCAGUGUAGCGGUGAAAUGCGUAGAGAUUGGGAGGAACACCAGUGGCGAAGGCGACUUACUGGGCCGUAACUGACGUUGAAGCGCGAAAGCGUGGGGAGCGAACAGGAUUAGAAACCCGUGUAGUCC